rnacentral:lncRNA from 1 species
CCAAUCGCCACAAUCCACAGAGGCUGACCAUCGACCAACAACCCCACUGCAAGUACACAAGCCGUAGUUACCGUCAACAGUUUCCCCAGCAGUUUCAGUUUCUUAAUUUUAUUCACGUGGUAUUCAGUGUCGUGAAUGUUCUCCCUCUCCUGCAGUUUAUGUACAGCCGUAUAGGGUUACAAACCAAACCAUCCAGUAAUUAUUUGCUUUCUAAGCAUGCAUGGAAUAAGAGUUCAGUGAACCAUAUGCAUGACUUGAUCAUUAGUUAUUAGCAGGAUAAGACUAAUUAAAACACAAAAUAAACAUGAGUCUCCUUAGUGAGACCUAAAUAACGAUCCACAUGGUUAAAGAACUGGCAUCUAAAAAAAGGACUAAUUAAAACAAAGAGAGAAGAACUCAAACCUCAUCAUAGGCAUCAUCUUCAUCAUCAUCAGAAAGUAAGGGUAGAUGAAGCGUCUCAGUUUCUGCAGCCAUAACAACAAACUCAGGGUCAGGGGAUGGAUCACACGAGUCAAGAGCGCCUACGUAGCUG